GUGUAGUUCAGUGGUAGAGCACAUGUUUAGCAUUCAUGAGACCCUGGGUUUGAUCCCCAGCAC
rnacentral:tRNA from 1 species